UGCUUGGAAUUGGCUGACUCUGUUCCUCUCAGAGGAAGACAGUUUCCAGAGGGUGAAAGAGGGCUCUGUUCUUAGAGUCCUCACAAAGAUUUUCAGGUGGAACAUAAUCAAUCAUUUUUCCAAGAUCAGAACCAGCUUUGAUGACUGGCCUUGAUGGAGGUAAGAAACAGGAAGCAGAUAGAGCACCAAGCUUGGAGUCAGGAAGACUCAUCUUCCUUAGUUUGAAUCUGACCUCAGAUACUUUGUGACCCUGGGCAAGUCACUUCACUCUGUUCACUUCAGUUUUCUCAUCUUCAAAUGAGUCGGAGAAGAAAAUGGCAAACUAUUCCAGUAUCUUUAUCAAGAAAACCCCAAAGGGAUUCAUGAAGAGUCAGACACAAAUAAAAAGACUAAUUGACAACAAUUACUAUUAAACAAUGUAUUUGGAAGCAGAAGAUCUUGAUCUCAAUCUGGGUCUAUGGGUUCUUUAAACCAUUCCCUUGCCUUUGCUGGCCCUUAGUUUCCUCAUUUUGUAAAAAGAGGUUUGAACAAGACGGCCUCUGAAGUCUCUUUCAGAUUUAAAAUGCAACUUCAUCCAUAUCAUCCACAGGAUUUGGCACAAUUUUGAGCACUAAACACAUUUAAGCACUAAAUAAAAACAGAUAAUGCUUGCUCAUACAUCCACAGGAAAGAUGGAAACAGAAAGUUAUGUUCAGGAACUACUGAAUUCUGAGCUAUCUCUAAAAGUACAUAAGGGAGAUUCCUGAAUGUGGCAAAAACAAGUCAUAUUUCAGAAAAAUUUCUUGGAAAAAUUAAAUUUUGAAAACAGGAAGGACCUCAUUAUGAAGAAUGGAAGUGGAGAAGUUCUAGGUAUGGGGAAUGGUCAAUGUGAAGGUUCACUAAUAGGAAUUGUUCAACUUGCUAUGAAAACUUCACUAAAUGUCAGUUUCUGUUCCUUUCCUCUAAAUAAAGUCACUGGCAUUUAUUGACUCACCUCUAUCAUUUGUUUCUUAUCCAUCUGUCAUUCUUUCCUCCAUCAUCUUUGGCAACUCAUUGGUUAAUUAACAAAUAAAUAAAUGGAAAACAAACAAAAAAAAAAACCCUUCAAAUAAAUGUAUGUACAGGAGGCGGAGGAGGGAA